UGAUGGGCGAUCCCCCGUGUAAAAGUGAGGUGGAGGAGGACAUUACAGGAGAUGUCACCACAGAAAAUUGCAGUAAAAAGUCUGAAAGAAGUUUUAUAUUAUCUCUACAUUAUAAAGAAGAAGAUGAAGAUAUCCUGCAGCACUCUUUGGGAGAAAACCUCAUUACCUGUAACGUACGUCCAGGACUUCACACUACAGAUCUAUCAUAUAAUCCUCCUAAUCAUGAGGAACCUUCUCCUGACCAAUCACAGAUUGUUAUCAUAAGUACCGAGCAGAAAGGGGGUAAAAGGUUUCAUUGUGGUGAAUGUGGAAAGCAGUUUACAAAAAGCUGUAAACUUUCUACACACAGAAGAAUUCAUACGGGAGAGAAGCCAUAUUCAUGUUCAGAAUGUGGGAAAUGUUUUAUUCAGAAGUCACAUCUACUUAAACACCAGCGAAGUCACACAGGAGAGAAGUCAUAUUCAUGUUCAGAAUGUGGGAAAUAUUUCAUGCAUAAAUCAGAUCUUGCUACACAUGAGAGAAUUCAUACAGGAGAUAAACCGUAUUCAUGUUCAGAAUGUGGGAAAUGUUUUUCUGCUAAAACCAAAUAUAUGGAUCAUCAGAGAAGUCACACAGGAGAGAAGCCGUAUUCAUGUUCAUUAUGUGGGAAAUGCUUUACAAAUAAGUCAAAUCUUGUUAGACAUGAGAGAAGUCACACUGGAGAGAAACCAUUUUCAUGUUCACUAUGUGGGAAGUGUUAUAUUACUAAAGCUACACUUGAGAAUCAUCAGAGAGUUCACACAGGAGAGAAGCCGUAUUCGUGUUCAGUAUGUGGGAAAUGUUUUAUCAAUAAAUCAAAUCUUGCUACGCAUCAGAGAAUUCACAUAGGAAAUAAGCCACAUUCCUGUUCACUCUGUGGGAAAUGUUUUUUUACCAGAGCUAAACUUGCCUCUCAUCAGCGAAGUCACACAGGAGAGAAGCCGUAUUCAUGUUCAGUAUGCGGGAAAUGUUUUACACAUAAAUCAAAUCUUGUUAGACACGAGAAAAGUCACACAGAGGAGAAUCCGUUUUGAUGUUUUAUCACUCAAACAGUUUUACAAGGAGAUGCAGUUCUGAAACUCAUCAGAGAAUUCACAAUGAGAUGAAACCAUAUUCUUGUUUGGAAUGUGAGAAAUGCUAGGGAAGAGAAAAAUAAAAUGUGUAGCCCAUCAGGUUAUUCAUAGACAUUUACCAGCCAAUGUUUUCCAUUUUUUGGGUGGAAAUAGCCUGGAUCCUCCCAAACACCCAAAUAAUUUUUACUUGAGAACAGAAUCUAUGGAGGAAAAGUAUGAUGGAUAUGAUGAAGAAAGCCUUUUUACUGUCAGAGCAGUCACUCUGAAUUGUCCCCAUGAACCUUGUUUCUUCUUACUGUAUUCAUACCUCCAUCCACACUGCACUCCAGAGUGACAUAGUGGAAUACGGACACCCAUGUAAAUUUUUGUGGCCAUAAUCAAUAUUUUAUCCUCAGCCAUAUGGUAUAUAAAUAUAAUAUUGAUGGAACUGAGCAAAAAAAAAAAAACAAUAAAUGACUGAAUACACAAUUUGUUAAAAUAA